CUGCGGGCCAAGUGCGCGCUGUCAGCCCCCGGGUCCUCCGCCCCGCUGACCCCCGUGGGCCCCCGUCCGGGCAGCACCGCUCCCGGCCGCGGCGGCAGUUCCUGCGCCCAGUUCCCCACUCGCCCGAUUUACUGCCACAAUCCACCAAAUAACAAGCUGUUGAGCAGACUCGCUUCUACACGAACUCCCAUUGGCUGCCCAUGACGCCGAAGAGCUUCGGAUUGGAGCUCGCUCCCUGCCGUCCUCAUUGGAUGCAGCUACGAAACUCCACGGAUUGGUGCGAAAAACAGCAGGUAGGACAUCUUCCACUUGUGAUUGGCUGUCCCCGAAGGCUCACGUUACUGGAGAAUCGCGUGUUGAGUAAGCAGGUCCUGAAAAACGAUUGGCUGAGGAGACUCCGGAUGUGCUUGGCUGAGCACUGAUUGGUAAGAUGAGGGGUCAGGAAGAGCAGUCCGGCGCGAGGAUUGGCGGCGAAGUGUCCCAUGGAAAUCGAACCCGGAGCUGCGGCCAGGAUUUGCACGGGGGCGGGGCAGGGUCUCUCCAAGGCGCCUGCGCUAAGCCGGCUUGUCGGCGCCAUUUUGUCUGAGCGGUGGCGGUCGCAGCUCUAUCGCAUUUUACGUUUCUGGCGAGGAGAGACCCGGGUCUCUAUUCCCGCAGAUGCAUGGGAGCGCGGCACCUCUCCGCCGUUGGCUCCAGGACAGCACCUAGCGAAGGUCGGAGGAGUCGCGGACCUUCCAGAAAGUUGUUACAAAGAAAACAAGAUCUCUCGGUGGCAUAUCCUAAGUAUUAACCGAGAAUAA
rnacentral:lncRNA from 1 species